rnacentral:rRNA from 1 species
GACGAACGCUGGCGGCGUGCUUAACACAUGCAAGUCGAACGGAAAGGCCCUGCUUUUGUGGGGUGCUCGAGUGGCGAACGGGUGAGUAACACGUGAGUAACCUGCCCUUGACUUUGGGAUAACUUCAGGAAACUGGGGCUAAUACCGGAUAGGAGCUCCUGUUGCAUGGUGGGGGUUGGAAAGUUUCGGCGGUUGGGGAUGGACUCGCGGCUUAUCAGCUUGUUGGUGGGGUAGUGGCUUACCAAGGCUUUGACGGGUAGCCGGCCUGAGAGGGUGACCGGCCACAUUGGGACUGAGAUACGGCCCAGACUCCUACGGGAGGCAGCAGUGGGGAAUAUUGCACAAUGGGCGGAAGCCUGAUGCAGCAACGCCGCGUGCGGGAUGACGGCCUUCGGGUUGUAAACCGCUUUCGCCUGCGACGAAGCGUGAGUGACGGUAAUGGGUAAAGAAGCACCGGCUAACUACGUG